rnacentral:rRNA from 1 species
UGGGGAAUUUUGCACAAUGGGGGAAACCCUGAUGCAGCGACGCCGCGUGAUUUAGAAGGCCUUCGGGUUGUAAAAAUCUUUUCUAUGGGAAGAAAAUGACAGUACCAUAGGAAUAAGGACCGGCUAAUUACGUGCCAGCAGCCGCGGUAAUACGUAAGGUCCGAGCGUUGUCCGGAAUCAUUGGGCGUAAAGGGUACGUAGGCGGGUAAGCAAGUUAGAAGUGAAAUCCUGUAGCUCAACUACAGUAAGCUUUUAAAACUGCUCAUCUUGAGAUAUGGAAGGGAAAGUGGAAUUCCUAGUGUAGCGGUGAAGUGCGCAGAUAUUAGGAGGAAUACCGGUGGCGAAGGCGACUUUCUGGCCAUAAUCUGACGCUGAGGUACGAAAGCGUGGGUAGCAAACAGG